UGCUGCCCUGCUUCUCUGAGGAACUCUCUGACUCCGCUGAUGUCCUCUGUUCCUCAGGUGCUGGG
rnacentral:miRNA from 1 species